AAGGUGUGUCGUGAGGCAUGCUGGAGGUAUCAGAAGUGCGAAUGCUGACAUAAGUAACGAUAAAGCGGGUGAAAAGCCCGCUCGCCGGAAGACCAAGGGUUCCUGUCCAACGUUAAUCGGGGCAGGGUGAGUCGACCCCUAAGGCGAGGCCGAAAGGCGUAGUCGAUGGGAAACGGGUUAAUAUUCCCGUACUUGGUGUUACUGCGAAGGGGGGACGGAGAAGGCUAUGUUGGCCGGGCGACGGUUGUCCCGGUUUAAGCGUGUAGGUGUGUGUUCCAGGUAAAUCCGGUUCACUUUAACACUGAGGCGUGAUGACGAGGCACUACGGUGCUGAAGCAACAAAUGCCCUGCUUCCAGGAAAAGCCUCUAAGCAUCAGGUAACAUCAAAUCGUACCCCAAACCGACACAGGUGGUCAGGUAGAGAAUACCAAGGCGCUUGAGAGAACUCGGGUGAAGGAACUAGGCAAAAUGGUGCCGUAACUUCGGGAGAAGGCACGCUGACAC
rnacentral:rRNA from 1 species